rnacentral:rRNA from 1 species
UACGGAGGGUGCGAGCGUUGUCCGGAAUCACUGGGCGUAAAGGGCGCGUAGGCGGCAUGCCAAGCGUGUGGUGAAAAGCCCGGGGCUCAACCCCGGGUCGGCCGUGCGGACUGGCGUGCUCGAGCACUGUAGGGGCGGGUGGAAUUCCGGGUGUAGCGGUGGAAUGCGUAGAGAUCCGGAAGAACACCGGUGGCGAAGGCGGCCCGCUGGGCAGGAAGGCUCGCAAGAGCCGGCUGACGCUGAGGCGCGACAGCGUGGGGAGCAAACAGG